ACAAAAACACACAAAGUUAUUUUAUUGUAGUGAUUAAUUUGACCUAUAUGUAGUGAUAUAGAAAUAUACCUAAUUCCACACAAAUAGUUUCCAGGUGAGAAGUUCCGGUUCUUGAAGUGGGCGUGGUGUAUAUAGGGGAGCUGCGGCGCUCAUUCAGGAAUGUGUCAUCUUUGUUCUCCCACUGUGUGGCUUGCGUCUGGACUCUGGCAGCAGAAAGUAACAAAUCGCUGGCUGGUGCAUGUUGCGCUGAUGUUCUGGUGGUAAAACGCCACUGCGCUGCRUUCUCUUCUUCCUCGGUCUGCGAGUGUGUGCAUGUUGUGUGGAUUAGCAGGUAAGAAAUUAACACUUAUCUAAGCUCCAAUUUCUUACUUUUAUUUAAAAUGGUGACACAUAUUUUUUAUAGGUCCCCCACAGUUGAACCAUUGCUGUUCUGUCUACAUCCGUUUUCCGGAUCUGUUCUGCUUUGCUCUGCUGCUGUCUACAUUUAUCUCCCGGAUUUCGGCACAAUUGUUUUUAAAGUUGGACUGCGGCGGCGUUAUCCGCCCUCAGUAAAGCGGUGUUUGGGGUGUGGCAUCGGCGUGCCCGUUUCAUCUCCCGCUGUAGCGUGGCAGGGCCACGCCUGGACUUAAUGUUAACUUGUAUUGUCUGAUUUUUAUUUUUAUUUUUUACUUUUGUUUACAGCCCUUUUUGUUUGUUCUAGUCGGGCUGAUUUGUCCUUUUUUUUGAUAUUGUUAUAUUGGUUAAUUGUUUGUUUUUUUUCUCUUUGUUUGCAGUCACUGAGGUCCGGUGGCGGUGUGAUGACGGUGUCUUCCUCGUCUGUGUGCUGUGAUUCUUGAGUUUGGGGUGUUUCACUGCAUCUGGUGUUAAAGGUUUUAUUUUGAUUUACUGUGUUUGGUGGAGGUC